ACCAGCAGCCAUAUCACCCUGCAACUCACAACUGGCAACCCACAGGUGUGAGCCUGGUCAGUACCUGGAUGGGAGACCUCCUGGGAAAAACUAAGGUUGCUGCUGGAA
rnacentral:rRNA from 1 species